UACAGAGGUCCCAAGCGUUGUUCGGAUUCAUUGGGCGUAAGGGUGCGUAGGCGGCGCGGUAAGUCGGGUGUGAAAUCUUGGAGCUUAACUCCGAAACUGCAUUCGAUACUGCCGUGCUUGAGGACUGGAGAGGAGACUGGAAUUUACGGUGUAGCGGUGAAAUGCGUAGAUAUCGUAAGGAAGACCAGUGGCGAAGGCGGGUCUCUGGACAGUUCCUGACACUGAGGCACGAAGGCCAGGGGAGCAAACGGG
rnacentral:rRNA from 1 species